CAAGUCGAGCGCACCCUUCGGGGCGAGCGGCGGACGGGUUAGUAACGCGUGGGAACAUACCCUUUACUACGGAAUAGCCUCGGGAAACUGAGAGUAAUACCGUAUGUGCCCUUCUGGGGAAAGAUUUAUCGGUAAAGGAUUGGCCCGCGUUAGAUUAGAUAGUUGGUGGGGUAAUGGCCUACCAAGUCUACGAUCUAUAGCUGGUUUUAGAGGAUGAUCAGCAACACUGGGACUGAGACACGGCCCAG
rnacentral:rRNA from 1 species